AAAUAUGUAUUAUAUAUUGUAUAGUUGAAAAAUCGGUAGGCAUGCUUAACACAUGCAAGUCGAACGGGAAGUGGUGUUUCCAGUGGCGAACGGGUGAGUAACGCGUAAGAACCUGCCCUUGGGAGGGGAACAACAACUGGAAACGGUUGCUAAUACCCCGUAGGCUGAGGAGCAAAAGGAGAAAUC
rnacentral:ncRNA from 1 species